AAGCUCCGACUGCGGCGGCAUCCGGGACGGCGGGCGGGCUGGCCACCACGGGACAGGAAGGCACAGAGCAUGGAGAAUGAUGAACUUCCGUCAGCGGAUGGGAUGGAUUGGAGUGGGAUUGUAUCUGUUAGCCAGUGCAGCAGCAUUUUACUAUGUUUUUGAAAUCAGUGAGACUUACAACAGGCUGGCCUUGGAACACAUUCAACAGCACCCUGAGGAGCCCCUUGAAGGAACCACAUGGACACACUCCUUGAAAGCUCAAUUACUCUCCUUGCCUUUUUGGGUGUGGACAGUUAUUUUUCUGAAAUCUGAAAGUUUCCUAGCAACCUCAUCUUUCCACUACAUCUGACUGAACCCGAAAGGAAGGCUGAGUAUUCCAUAGCAAGCUGUUACUUAAAAGAUAAAGCAGGGCUCAGUAAAGAGACAAGCACUAUAUGCCUGUAGUACCUGCACCCCAGAGGGAGAAGAACCAGCAGGAAUUUGUUUAGCUUGCAGUUAUGAAUGUCAUGGAAGUCACAAACUAUUUGAGCUAUACACAAAAAG
rnacentral:lncRNA from 1 species